rnacentral:rRNA from 1 species
CACCGGCGGUCCAACUGGUGACCAUGUUUACUGGGCCUAAAGCGUCCGUAGCCGGGUAGUUGAAUCCCUUGUGAAAUCCUCCAGCUCAACUGGGGGGCGUGCUCGGGACACUCGCUAUCUUGGGACCGGGAGAGGUAAGGGGUAUGCUUGGGGUAGAAGUAAAAUUCUAUAAUCCCAAGAGGACCACCGGUGGCGAAAGCGCCUUACCAGAACGGGUUCGACGGUGAGGGACGAAGGCCAGGGGAGCGAACCGGAUUAGAUACCCGGGUAGUCCUGGCUGUAACGAUGUGGACUAUGUUUUGCGACUCCUACGAGGGCUCGCAGGGCCGUAGCGAAGGUGUUAAGUCCACCGCCUGGGGAGUAUGGCCGCAAGGCAGAAACUUGAAGGAAUUGGCGGGGGGGCACCGACAAGGGGUGGGACCUGCGGUUC